rnacentral:rRNA from 1 species
UGGGGAAUAUUGCACAAUGGGCGCAAGCCUGAUGCAGCCAUGCCGCGUGUAUGAAGAAGGCCUUCGGGUUGUAAAGUACUUUCAGUCGGGAGGAAGGUGGUAAGGUUAAUAACCUUGGCAAUUGACGUUACCGACAGAAGAAGCACCGGCUAACUCCGUGCCAGCAGCCGCGGUAAUACGGAGGGUGCAAGCGUUAAUCGGAAUUACUGGGCGUAAAGCGCACGCAGGCGGUUGAUUGAGUCAGAUGUGAAAUCCCCGGGCUUAACCCGGGAAUUGCAUCUGAUACUGGUCAGCUAGAGUCUCGUAGAGGGGGGUAGAAUUCCAUGUGUAGCGGUGAAAUGCGUAGAGAUGUGGAGGAAUACCGGUGGCGAAGGCGGCCCCCUGGACAAAGACUGACGCUCAGGUGCGAAAGCGUGGGGAGCAAACAGG